rnacentral:rRNA from 1 species
CCUACGGGAGGCAGCAGUGAGGAAUUUUCCGCAAUGGGCUAACGCCUGACGGAGCAAUGCCGCGUGGAGGAGGAAGGCCUGUGGGUCGUAAACUCCUUUUCUCAGAGAAGAAGAUCUGACGGUAUCUGAGGAAUAAGCAUCGGCUAACUCUGUGCCAGCAGCCGCGGUAAUACAGGGGAUGCAAGCGUUAUCCGGAAUUAUUGGGCGUAAAGCGUCCUGAGGUGGCUUACCCAGUCGACUGUGAAAGCUCAAGGCUCAACCUUGAAACGGCAGUCGAAACUUGUAAGCUUGAGUACGGUAGAGGCAGAGGGAAUUCCCGGAGGAGAGGUGAAAUUCGUAGAUAUCGGGAGGAAGGCCAAAGGCGAAAGCACUCUGCUGGGCCGAUUACUGACACUGACAGACGAAAGCUAGGGGAGCGAAAGGGAUUAGAUACCCCUGUAGUCCUAGCCGUAAACGAUGGAUACUAAGUGUUGCGCGACUCAACUCGUGCAGUGCUGCAGCUAACGCGGUAAGUAUCCCGCCUGGGGAGUAUGCUCGCAAGAGUGAAACUCAAAAUGAAUUGACGGCNGAGAGAGCGAGACGACACGAGGGAGGAGG